CAGGGACGACUAUGCCAACAACUGUUUGCGCAUUAACUAAUUAAUAGCACAGGCAAAUCUUGCUUUAUCUAAUGUAAGAAGAGGGUCAAAGUUUGUUCAACUAUGCGCACUUUUUUUAACUAAGUAGUAAUACAUACAACAAAGGUUGCCAUCCACGAGCAUUGCCUCGAGUUGCUUGAUGUAUGUGGAGCAUUUGUUUGUAACAUAAUCCAAGGUACGUAUCUGAUGAAGGGGAAAUUGUAUGUACACGUUUUAUGUACCGGUAUAUAUGUGUUGUCUCAAACUAUAAAACAUGAUCAAUGAUAAUUUUUUCAUUAAA